GAUGAAGAACGUAGUGAAAUGCGAUAAGUAAUGUGAAUUGCAGAAUUCAGUGAAUCAUCGAAUCUUUGAACGCACAUUGCGCCCCUUGGUAUUCCGAGGGGCAUGCCUGUUCGAGCGUCAUUAUAACCCCUCAAGCUCAGCUUGGUGUUGGGGCGUGCUGCACUGGCAGCCCUUAAAAUCAGUGGCGGCGCCAUCUGGCUCUAAGCGUAGUAAUUCUUCUCGCUAUGGAGUCCUGGUGGAUGCUUGCCAUCAACCCCCAAUUUUUCUAUGGUUGACCUCGGAUCAGGUAGGGAUACCCGCUGAACUUAAGCAUAUCAAUAAGCGGAGGA
rnacentral:misc_RNA from 1 species